GCCUGGGUGGCUCAGUCGGUUAAGCAUCUGACUUCAACUCAGGUCACGAUCUCGCGGUCCGUGAGUUCGAGCCCCGCGUCAGGCU
rnacentral:tRNA from 1 species